GUUUUUAGAUGGCAAAACGUUCUCUUAGGUUGAAAUAGACAAUAUAAUUUAUGAUUUUAACCGGGACUUGAGAUAUAUUGGGAUUGCACUGUUCACAAUAUUCUCAGAGAAGAGAGGAAGUUUGGAAAGUGUCAACAACGGCAGGAUCACGAUGAGUCAGGAAAGGUUCUUACAUUCAUAUCAUUGUCUUGUUAUGUUUAUCUGUAUUUUUCUUGAAAAUGCUUUCAGAGUUCAAAGAAUCAUAACUCAAAGUCAAGAUCAAUCCGUAGUUCAGCGCCAGAACUGAGAAGAACAUGCAUCCUCUUUCGACAGAACAUGGGGUCAGGAGACCGCGGCGGAAUCUGUAGCUAAUGAGCUUGUUCUACAUUCCAUGGAGGGCAUCAAAGUGAAUCCUCUAAUUUAAAGAGUAAUUUUGGGCUUAGUGUGUGGUUCAGAAAAUGAUCCAGCGUCGAUCUCUUAAGUAUUUCGUUAUUAUUUGUCAAAUCUUUUCUCACACACGUUUACUUAUUUCUGAAACCUCGUAAGGCCACCAUUAGUCUGGGUUCUUAAGAGAUGGGCUCCACCAUUUUCAUAAAACCCAGCUCCUCCUCCUCUUCUGCAAUAGGCGAUUUUGGUUGGAUUUUUUUACUGUUCGCGGAUCCCAGUGACACAUGGCGACACGCGAUUGUUUGUUUUUAAUUAUUAUUUUUUUUU